rnacentral:rRNA from 1 species
GACGAACGCUGGCGGCGUGCUUAACACAUGCAAGUCGAACGGAAAGGCCCUGCUUUUGUGGGGUGCUCGAGUGGCGAACGGGUGAGUAACACGUGAGUAACCUGCCCUUGACUUUGGGAUAACUUCAGGAAACUGGGGCUAAUACCGGAUAGGAGCUCCUGCUGCAUGGUGGGGGUUGGAAAGUUUGGGCGGUUGGGGAUGGACUAGCGGCUUAUCAGCUUGUUGGUGGGGUAGUGGCUUACCAAGGCUUUGACGGGUAGCCGGCCUGAGAGGGUGACCGGCCACAUUGGGACUGAGAGACGGCCCAGACUCCUACGGGAGGCAGCAGUGGGGAAUAUUGCACAAUGGGCGGAAGCCUGAUGCAGCAACGCCGCGUGCGGGAUGACGGCCUUCGGGUUGUAAACCGCUUUCGCCUGUGACGAAGCGUGAGUGACGGUAAUGGGUAAAGAAGCACCGGCUAACUACGUG